rnacentral:rRNA from 1 species
CUGCCCAAGAGACUGGGAUAACACCUGGAAACAGAUGCUAAUACCGGAUAAAACACUAGACGCAUGUCUAGAGUUUGAAAGAUGGUUCUGCUAUCACUCUUGGAUGGACCUGCGGUGCAUUAGCUGGUUGGUAAGGUAACGGCUUACCAAGGCAAUGAUGCAUAGCCGAGUUGAGAGACUGAUCGGCCACAUUGGGACUGAGACACGGCCCAAACUCCUACGGGAGGCAGCAGUAGGGAAUCUUCCACAAUGGACGAAAGUCUGAUGGAGCAACGCCGCGUGAGUGAAGAAGGGUUUCGGCUCGUAAAGCUCUGUUGGUAGUGAAGAAAGAUAGAGGUAGUAACUGGCCUUCAUUUGACGGUAAUUACUUAGAAAGUCACGGCUAACUACGUGCCAGCAGCCGCGGUAAUACGUAGGUGGCAAGCGUUGUCCGGAUUUAUUGGGCGUAAAGCGAGUGCAGGCGGUUCAAUAAGUCUGAUGUGAAAGCCUUCGGCUCAACCGGAGAAUUGCAUCAGAAACUGUUGAACUUGAGUGCAGAAGAGGAGAGUGGAACUCCAUGUGUAGCGGUGGGAUGCGUAGAUAUAUGGAAGAACACCAGUGGCGAAGGCGGCUCUCUGGUCUGCAACUGACGCUGAGGCUCGAAAGCAUGGGUAGCGAACAGGAUUAGAUACCCUGGUAGUCCAUGCCGUAAACGAUGA